rnacentral:rRNA from 1 species
AACGAACGCUGGCGGCAGGCCUAACACAUGCAAGUCGAGCGAGAUCUUCGGGUCUAGCGGCGGACGGGUGAGUAACGCGUGGGAAUAUGCCUCUUGGUACGGAAUAGCCUCGGGAAACUGGGAGUAAUACCGUAUGUGCCCUUUGGGGGAAAGAUUUAUCGCCAAGAGAUUAGCCCGCGUUGGAUUAGGUAGUUGGUGGGGUAAUGGCCUACCAAGCCGACGAUCCAUAGCUGGUUUGAGAGGAUGAUCAGCCACACUGGGACUGAGACACGGCCCAGACUCCUACGGGAGGCAGCAGUGGGGAAUCUUAGACAAUGGGGGCAACCCUGAUCUAGCCAUGCCGCGUGAGUGAAGAAGGCCUUAGGGUUGUAAAGCUCUUUCAGCUGGGAAGAUAAUGACGGUACCAGCAGAAGAAGCCCCGGCUAACUCCGUG